CCGAGUUUACAACUCCCAAACCCCUGUGAACAUACCACUUGUUGCCUCGGCGGAUCAGCCCGCUCCCGGUAAAACGGGACGGCCCGCCGGAGGACCCCUAAACUCUGUUUCUAUAUGUAACUUCUGAGUAAACCAUAAAUAAAUCA
rnacentral:misc_RNA from 1 species